rnacentral:ncRNA from 2 species
UAAAUAUGAAACAUUGAAAGUGCCCGGAGUUUGAACGUCCGGGAUAAUAGGGAAAUCGGUGUGAAUCCGAUGCAGCCCCCGCUACUGUAAGCGCGAUGAAAUUGUCCAUAUCCACUGGUGAAUACACCGGGAAGGGGGACAAAAGUAAAAGGACCGCAAGCCAGGAGACCUGCUUUUAAUGCCAAAACAUU